rnacentral:tRNA from 1 species
GCCCGGGUGGCUCAGUCAGUUGAGCAUCUGACUUCGGCUCAGGUCAUGAUCUCGUGGUUCAUGGGUUCGAGCCCCACAUCGGGUU